GAUGAAGAACGCAGCGAAAUGCGAUACGUAAUGUGAAUUGCAGAAUUCAGUGAAUCAUCGAAUCUUUGAACGCUUAUUGCGUUCUCUGGUAUUCCGGAGAGCAUGCUUGUUUGAGUAUCAGUAAACACCUCAACUUCCAUAUCUUUUUUGAAAUGGGAGUUGGACUUGAGUGAUCCCAACGCUUUUCCUCACCGAAAAGUGGCGGGUUACUUGAAAUGCAGGUGCAGCUGGACUUUUCUCUGAGCUAUAAGCAUAUCUAUUUAGUCUGCCUAAAAAACAGAUUAUUACCUUUGCUGCAGCUAACAUAAAGGAGAUUAGUUCUUGUGCAGACUGAUGCAGGAUUCACAAAGACAGGCUUCGGCCGACUUUGUAAACUCGAUCUCAAAUCAAGUAAGACUACCCGCUGAACUUAAGCAUAUCAAUAAGCGGAGGA
rnacentral:misc_RNA from 1 species